UGGUGUGCAGCCCUCACGGCUGCCACAGCCCCCGCUCACCUUUGCUGUCAAGAAAAGACGCAAGAGGCACUUUUAACAACUAACCCAACAAACCCUCAGGCACCUUUCAGCGAAAUUUGUCUUGGUGGUGGUUUAGUCGCUAAGUCAUGUCAGACUCUUGCGACUCCAUGAAUGGUAGCCUGCUGGGCUCCUCCAUCCAUGGAAUUUUCCCGGCAGGAAUACUGGAGUGGGAUGCCAUUUCCUUCUCCAGGAACUCUUCCUAGGGAUCAAACCCGGGUCUUCUGCAUUGCAGGUGGAUUCUUUAUCGACUGAGCCACCAGGGAAGACCCAAACUUCAAACUUGGACUCCAGAGGUACAGAAAUGAAGACGUUCAGCAAGCCGCUGUUGAUCUUGAGAAGUCCUUUGCUGCAAAUCCCACAGAGCUGCUUUCUGCAGAGAACUGCCCCCUUUGAAGACUUGCCCCAGUGGUCUUUAUGCAAGCUGCUUCAGUGAAGGAAGAAAGAGGUAUGCCUUAGGGGUGGAUGAUCAGACUGUUUGAUCUCUCCAGUUCAGUGACACAGUUCUGACACCAUGCUCAGAUUUGGGAUAUGGGGCAAAGGGGGCCUGCUGAAUACUUUCUAUGAGCCCCUGGAACCCCCACACUGCCCCACAAUGUCACCAGUUUGAACAGUCUACUGUACUAUGCAGAAAAUAAGAACCAAAAAUUAUAACUCUUGCAAAAUCUCUCCAAGUUAUGCUUUUUUUCCUUUGCUAUCCUAAAAAAGAAAAUGAACACUAUCUGUUCAUAGGAUCUAUUCAUUAACCUGGGGCACCUGUAGUUUCAUUUGUAAAGAGCAAUCACAAAAAGGAUGGAGGAAAAUUUACCAGACAAAAGCAAUUAU